AUGGUUCCCAAAAGAUGUCCACAUCCCAUCCUUGGAAUCUGUAAAUGUUACUUUAUAUGGCCAAAGGGACUUUGCAGGUGUAAUUAAACUAAGAAUCUCGAGAUGGGGAGAGCAUCCUGGAUUAUCCAGGUGGGUCCAAGGUAAUUACAAGAGUCCUCACAAGAGGGAGGCAGGCGUUGUGAGGGGGCAGUAGCAGAUGUGAUGGACGCAGGAGGCUGCAGUAAGCAGGGGAGGAGGUCAGGAGCCAAGGAGUGCAGCCACCUCAGGAAACUGAAAAAGGGAAGCAAACAGACUCCCCUCAGAACUUCCAGAAGGACGGACGCCCUGCCGACAGCUUACCUUCAGCCCAGGGAGGCCGACUCUGGACGACGCACCUCCAGAACCGAAAAAAAGACCAUGAAAAGAUAUCUGCCAAGAUGGGAAUGAUGGUUCCACCUUUCACUGGUAUGAUUACAGGCAAAACACUGAAAGAGACCAAGGUCCUCUACCGAACAGCAAGUACAAGGUCCACCCUCCCCUUCUUCAUUUUUCAAGUCACCAAGUGUUGGAGUACUCAAGUUUUCCCAAUAAAACAUAUCUCAACUCUCUCCUGGUUCAAAGAGACAGCUGCCAAUCUCCCCCUAAAACUCCACUUAAAACACUAAUGGGAGCCACGUGCACUUUCCCGGAGCCUUCAGCCUUCCUAGCUCGUUACCCUAACUAUCUGUGGCACGUACUACGGCUGCCACACAAACACAAGAGGCAGCUGGCAGGGCAGGAACUACUUACCGCCAGAAUCAAAGAAAAUGGAGUCAAAGACACGUGAAUUUAAAGAGAAGGCUAAAAACCUCUGGACCAGAAGAGAUCCCACUUGAUCCCAUGGGACCCUGGGUGCUUCAAAGGCUCCACAAGCACCAAAUUAGAAUUUCUCUUUUUUCACCGACACGACCAACUCUUGAUUAUAAGGGAUGCUGGAGGAGGAGAAAGGAGAGACCCAAUGGGCAAGAGGCCCACUCAGGCCACCCCCACCACCUCGUCCCAUAAAGGGCUCUGGCCGUCCCUGAGGCGCAUGGAAACAAAAUCUUAUUUGCAAAAGUGUUCUGCAUGAAUGGAUAAACAAAGUAUGUUACAUCCACACAAGAGAUUACUACUGGACCGUAAAAAGGAACAAAGUAUUGACACAUGCUACAACAUGGAUGACCCUUAAUGCUGAAUAAAAGCCAGACACAGAGCCCCACACAUGAUGCCACCUGAAUAUAUGAAAUAUUCAGAAAUUACAAAUCUAAGGAGACAGCAGAUAGAGGUUGCCUGGGGCUGGGUUAUAAAUGAGUAGUGAUGACUGCAAAUGGGCACCAGAGAUCUUUCUCGGGUGACAGAAAUGUUCUAAAAGUGGGUGUGGUGAUGAUUGCACAACUCUAAAUUUACAAAAAAAAACCCAAAAACCACUGAAUAAGUACACUUAAAACAGGUGAAUUUUAUGGUAUGUAAAUUUCACCUUAAAGCUCUUACAAAAAAACAAAAUGAGCGCCGCAGAUAAAGCAGCUGGGAAGAGCCACUAUUCUCCAAGCCCCUUGUUUUUACCCAUACGCAAACACACCUUGAAGUCAGAGCACAAUUUACUAGCAGAGUUAAGACUAAAGGGCCAGAGGAAACGACAUUCGCCAGAGUUCAACUCUGAGAUCUUAUGCCACUCACUUGGAAGUGUCGUUCAGAAUCUGAAUGUCGAUAUUUAACUUCAUCUGUGGACACAUAAGCCAAGAUUCUCGGGGGCUCUGACCCAAAACAUCUUAUUUUGGUAAACAUCUUAUUAAAAAUGAUGCUGAUGCUCUGUAACAGUCUUAGGGGGUCACGACCAUCACUGGGCGAGCCAAGGUCUGAAGAUGCUACGGGUCUGAAGGGUUCUCUGGAUCGGAGGGCAAACCGGAGCCUCGGGGGCCCGAGCGGCCGCCGAGCUUCUCGCACCGCACUCCUGGCACCCGCGGGGCGGCGUGUGCAGCCUGAGACACGGGAAAGAGCCCAGGUCGUUCAAACCCGGGCGCCGGCACCCUCUGGGAGCAGACCCGGAGGGACCGGGACGUUCGCAGGCCGAGGGCCGGAGACAGGCACACCGUUUCACUGCGUUAAAGUUUAUUUCACAUAAAGAAAAUUAUGAAAUCGGGCACGCCACCAAGCGAGGCAGACACGCAGACAGGGCCCAGCAGGGCCCCAGCCGCAGCCCGGGGGCUCCGGGGAGCGGAGGGGACGGCGC
rnacentral:lncRNA from 1 species